ACAACACCAGAUUUUGUCUGUACACUUGUACGACUACUACGCCAAGGCUCCUAACUUACACGUUAAGGACCAUUUGCUAGUGUUGUUUGGUUACCACGUUUUUGAUCCUGUCUCUGCCUCAGGAUUAUCCUGUGCCGGAGAACACAGUUUUGUCUCCGUUUGGAUUCCUGUCAGCCUGCCUCUCCAGCCGCUCCACCUAACCUGUCUCCUACAACUCCACCACGGAGUCGGACCCUUUGGAUCCAACCUGCUCCAUGCUCUUGGUUCCAUUGACGAUCCAUGCGGCCUCCAACCCGAGUCAGAUGGGUGACCGCUACUUUAGUCUCCACUCCGGAGCCAUCGCUACUUUCCCUGAGUCGCCGUGUACAACGCCGAAGGCUUUACUCGGGAGAACUACACCCCUUCCCACUAGUCCUGCUCACAUUCAAAUAGAGUGAAUUGAUCUUUAAAGACUUCGAGUGAGUCCGAAAUAUCGUACACUACGACACUAUUACCCUUACGGUGUCAAGCCCUGAGGAUUUGCUCUUUUCAUUUUUGAGCUAUCUUCUGCUGCCACCCCAAUACAAUGAAGGGGAAUGUAAUAUUCAUUAGUGGUGCUCACAGCAUUGAAAUGUUACAUUCAAAAAUGUCAACAGCUACAUCUCUCCAGAAACAAUGUCCCUGUUACUUUGUAAACUCACAACAAAUAUGCUCUGUUUGUCUUCAGUUUUCAUUGGGACAAU